rnacentral:lncRNA from 1 species
CGGCGUAGCGUGGCCGGAGGCGCAUUCUUGGUGCGGGCAAUGUCGAAGGGAUCAGCGUCGUCGUGGUGAUGAUCGUUGCUCUUGGACGCCUUGUCGCCGACGAACUCGGCGGAUAGCCGGACUCCAUGUCGAGGUGGUGGCGGCCGGACCUCGACGUCGGCAGCAAGCCGUUCUUGGAAGAGGGCACGAUCUUUUCACAGCUGAGGGGGUCGUCCCAUUCG